rnacentral:rRNA from 1 species
AUACGGAGGGUGCGAGCGUUAUCCGGAUUUAUUAGGUUUAAAGGGUGUGUAGGCGGGAGCCUAAGUCAGUGGUGAAAUCUCACAGCUUAACUGUGAAACUGCCAUUGAAACUGGGUUUCUUGAGUAUAGUUGAGGUAGGCGGAAUGUGUAAUGUAGCGGUGAAAUGCAUAGAUAGUACACAGAACACCGAUUGCGAAGGCAGCUUACUAAGCUAUUACUGACGCUGAUGCACGAAAGCGUGGGUAGCGAACAGGAUUAGAUACCCGAGUAGUCC